CAGAUGGGCAAGCUGCUGCGUGAGACAUUGCUGUCGCAUUUGGGACCAACUCUAGGGCAGAGGAAGGGCUGUUUUGGUAGUGGCAGCCAUCUGGUUGUGGGGAGGACAGCCUACAGCGGGACCUGGAGAGGAAGGAGUAGGGUUUGGCACACAGCACCUUUGGAGGUUUCCAUCUGGUAAGAGUCUUGUAGGUGCCGUAACUUCAGAAUAAUUUCAAGCCUGUACUUUUCACUGAAGACUCUGAAGUUGGAGUCAACCAGUGAGUGGAAGAAGGCAGAUUUGCUUUUGUGUCGCUCAUGGCCAUUCAGAAAACUGCUAAAGCAACAUGCCUCAGGGCUGUGAACACCUACAUCUGGUAAUGCUGGACGCGCUGUGUGACCACAUCCCUGCUGGUUGGACCCUCAGAUGAAAAUCCAGCUGUCUUGCUUGGUGCUGCCUCCAGAUCCGGCCCUAAGAGUGAUGCUGCUGGGGCUGCUUUCUUCCUACCUCAGUUUUUCAUACUGCUGUUCUUGCAAGCUGCUCAUCUUUAAUGGCAAAAAAAACCCCAUAGAUAAACAGAGGAGCAGAUCCUCAGCAGAUGUCCAUGGUGGUAACUGGGAUGCCCCCAAAUUACACCAGCUGAGCCCCAGGGUCUGCUGUGCUCCGAGAGAUAAAUCACCCUGCACUGACCUCCUGGAUCCAUCAGCAACACGGGACCAUCUGCGCUCCUCCUCCGUGCCACGGCACAUGUGGGGAGAUCUGCUGCUCAAGGUGGUUGGAGUCAGGACCAUCGAACACACGAUGCUGAAUAAAACCCAGAGCUGAAUGUGGGAACUACAUAAAUCAGCUAAUUAUUCCUCUCCCUGUGCCCCCUGUGCAUAGUUUGGUGUCUGAGUUGGGGUUUUUUGCUUUUCUCCGAAGCAG
rnacentral:lncRNA from 1 species